rnacentral:rRNA from 1 species
AACGAACGCUGGCGGCAGGCUUAACACAUGCAAGUCGAACGCCCCGCAAGGGGAGUGGCAGACGGGUGAGUAACGCGUGGGAAUCUACCCAGUUCUACGGAAUAACCCAGGGAAACUUGGACUAAUACCGUAUACGCCCUACGGGGGAAAGAUUUAUCGGAAUUGGAUGAGCCCGCGUUGGAUUAGCUAGUUGGUGGGGUAAUGGCCUACCAAGGCGACGAUCCAUAGCUGGUCUGAGAGGAUGAUCAGCCACACUGGGACUGAGACACGGCCCAGACUCCUACGGGAGGCAGCAGUGGGGAAUAUUGGACAAUGGGCGCAAGCCUGAUCCAGCCAUGCCGCGUGAGUGAUGAAGGCCUUAGGGUUGUAAAGCUCUUUCAGUGGGGAAGAUAAUGACGGUACCCACAGAAGAAGCCCCGGCUAACUUCGUGCCAGCCGCCGCAGUAA